GACAGCAGUCAACACAGGCAGUAGAGGUGGGGCUACACACGUCACUCCCCCGCACAGUCAGGGCGAUACUGCACGCCGCGCGCACACAUGCCCUCAGUCCCUUACUACUGGUUCAGCGGGGCCUCUCUAGGCAAGUGCCUGUUGGACCAACUUAUCACAAGUUAUCACAGGUUGAGCCUGGCCCCCCAGGCCAGGCUCAGGGAGUAAACUCCUCCAGGAACCCCCUCCAGAAACCCCCUCCAGAAACCCUCUCCAGGUAUGCUCCAGGUAACCCAAUAACUUCCUCCAUCUUAGAUUUGGAAAUUUCAAUUUUGUUAAUUAGUUAUCUGGAGACCGUUGACAUUUCCUACGCUCAGAACUCUCCAUUAUUCGGAAUUUAACUGAAACUGCCAAUCCUUCUCUAAUUUUAAAAAUCUGGGUCAUUCUGUAGCAAUUUUAUAUCAGCCUGAGCUUAUUUUCCCAACUAUUUUAGCGUCAUUCGCCAAGAUUGCUGUUCCUUCAUUUGUUUAUAUUUAAUGUAAGGGUCUCGUAGUAUACUUGACUUCAUUCUCAAUUCACAGUCGGGGAUCCCCAGUUCAAUUCCCGGGCAGGGCAAAAGUGAUUGUGCAUGUUUCAUUUCACAUAAUAUAUCUGUUCACCUAGCAGUAAAUAGGUUCCCUGGAGUUUAGCAACAGUUUUGGGGUUACAUCCUUGGGAAGGUCAGUACUAUAGUUCGAAUUGAAGGACCUUGAUACAAGCCUAAAGUAUAUAUGUAUUGAUUAUUGGUUUAAGUCUAUAUGUAUCAGUUUAUGUAAUCAACAACUUUUGUAAUAUUAUUAUUAUUAUUAUUAUAAAAAAUCACAUCAAUAAUAAUAAUUUUUAUUUAAAAUAUACAUAAAAACAUGAUAAAGUGGUUGAUAGUUACAGAGUAUGUAUAUUUAAUAAAGCCACUAGUAUGGUUUCCUAUUAUCAAAGACGGGAAGUGUAUUAGGGUUAACGAGGUUUCCCAGGCCAACUACUGACCCUCCUCAGGAUGCCACCCACAAGCGUUGCCUAACUCCAGAGGUACCUAUUUACUGCCAGGUGUAGGAAGGCAUCCAGUGAAAAACAACAUGACCAAACAUUUCUGUCAUGUUGUGGGAAUCAAACUUGGGACCUUUCAACUGUGACCCCCAACUCUGCUGACCACUGUACCAACACCAAUGGAUCCUUGUGCAAUACCACUUGCAAUGCUUCAACAUUCACAAUCUAUUUCACUUAAGAUGAAUCUGUUUCAAUGUGAUUUUGUCACUGUUUAAUUCAUCCCCCUAUAUUAUAUCUGAGGACCACCAACUCUGCAAUAGUCUCGAUGGGGACAGGAAGCUGGUGGCUGGUCAAAUUCCCCCCCCCCCCCCACCUCAUUUUUUUCUGAUGAAUACUUUCCAGCUAGAUUUUAAACAGCAGCAAUGACCUGUCCUGGUUAUUCAAUGUGCUCGUUAGCUCCAGUCUAAUCUUUCAUAUGAUAAUCUGUCAAAUGGCUUGGAAAGGUCUAUGUGCAUCAAGUCAACUUGGAAUCCUUCAUGUCACAGCCCCAGUCCUGUACCAGACACUCAACCCACCAGGGGACUCGAACACUGGCCAACAAGGUGGCAGUUGCACGCUGUAUCCACUACACCAUACUUCAAAGUCAUAAAAGAGAGGUAGGAAUUCUGGCACAAGGUGAAGAAAAGCACAAGGAAGCUAAAUGGAUAAAAACUAAGUGAAGCAGUACCAUUCACAGAGCUUUGUUUACAAUCUACAGUGACCAACAUCAACUAAGUAAAGCAGUACCGUUCACAGAGCUUUGUUUACAAUCUACAGUGACCAAUAUCAAUGUCACAAACAGUCAAAGGACUAGCAUAUGAUAUUACUGAAAAAUGAAGGAUCCCUUAUGUGGACAUAACAUUAUCCAACACAGUUAUGAAACUGACAACACAGUUUUGCUAAAGAUUUAAAAAAAAAAUACCUUCAAAGUGAUUGUCCAGCAAUUAUUACAACAGCCCAGCAAGUUGCAAUAGUGGUAAAAUGAGCUAAUCAAACUGCAAGAAUAAUCAAGCACAUAUUUAAUUCAAUCCUUAUCUUAAUUACUGUAUUCAAGCAUGGAGACUUAACAUUAACAAAUAUAUUGCAGUUUUACAUAGGAAAAAAAUCCUCACAGAGGUAAUGACAAUCAUCUCAGGACUAAUUCAAAUUGCUUAAAAGAAAAAGUUGAGAGGUAGAGGCUUCACUACUCUUGAAACAAGGCUAUGACAUGCCUGAUCUAAUUAAGAUAUUUAAAAUAUUGAAUGAACUGUAUAAUAAAUUCAGACUCCUACUAAAAAAGUGCAGAAGAUAGGGGGAUGCUUUCCCCCCAAAGGGUAAUACUCCCACAGAACUGCCUACCUGUUAAAGCUGUGACUGUCAGUUUAAAAUUCAGCUAAAAUAUCCUCAGGAAUAAUGGAGGGACCUUUGACAAGCUAACAGCUUCCUGAUUCCUUCAAGACCACUAGAGAUGGUGGCCUCCAGGUAAAUUCUGGUAAAUGACACUCAAAAGAGGCAACAAUUCCAAGCUUUCCAAGCCACAAUGUUAAACAGACAAUAGGAGAUCCUCUUUCUCUCAGAAUAACAAACAUAUAAAACAGCCAACCCAGUAAAGCUAUCAAAGCCAGGACCACAUGACUGUAUAAAAUAUAAAUGAAAGAAUGAAGGCAUCCUUGGUAAGCCACCUACUUCCUUUUCCCACCCCCACAUGUUACACGGCCUACUGUUAUCUUUUAACUUUGCUCUUUCACCUCACAACUAAGGGUUCCAGGUUUAACUCCCGAACAGAACAGAGAAAGUUCGGAACAUUACCUUUCCCUAAGUGCCUCCAUCAGCAGCAGUUACCUGGGAGUUAGACAACUGUUGUGGGUGGCAUCCUGGGGAGGGUCAGUAACUAGCCUAAGGGGUUCCCAAGCCUAAGUGUAUGCUUUCUAUCCCAGACAAUGGGGAGAAAAUGUAUGUCGAGUCAUCCCCAAACAUUCCAUCUAAGGCACCACUUAUAAAGUACUAAAGAUUGCAACAAUAUCAGGAAUAUUUGCAGGAACCUAUCUAAUGAUGUCUAUUAAUAUACUGUAUGCACUUUACAGCUGCUAACUUUUGCUAAACAGGACAAGGCAAAAACAAGUAUUUUUGUUUUAAGUUCAAACCUCAAAACUAAUUCAAUAUAUAAUUAUGCAGAUGCACACUCUAAUAUCUUAAAUUAUAGCAUGAAGAUUUAUUUGCC